AGUCCAGUCCUUUCCCUCCUACUGUGUUCACACCACUUGUUUUUCUUUCUCAAAAUUAUCUCGGCUAUUCUUGCCCAUCUCCUCUUCCAUAUGACCUUUAGAAUCAGCUUAUUAAGUUCCAUUAAAAAAUCCCGGUGGGAUUUUGAUUAGGAAGGCAUUGAAUUUGUGCAUUAAUUUGGAGAGAAUUGACAUCUUCGCAAUAUCGAGGCUUCAGGACCCUAACAUUUCAAGGGUGGUUGAGUCAGAGACUCUGAUUAACGAGACUGGGAAGGAAAAGUCGUCAUAGAGACGGGUUAAAAAACAAGGAGAGGGUGUUGUCAUGGAAACCAAGAGAGCCCAGCGAGCGUUUCAAGAAGGCGAGAGCGAUCAACAAUAUCAAACCCAGCAGAGAAUUCCAAUAAGACAGGGAUGGAAAAACACCCGCUGAAGUUGGUAAUUAGGAGGUUAUCGGAGCCCUCAGCAAGAGAGUUUCAGGGGUGAGAUGGAGCAGAACCCCGACUGCAGUGCCUGAGUGUGAUAGAUAGUCAGCAAAGACGCUCCUGGUACAGAAGUUUAGAUAAUUAAGUUUAGAUAAUUAGAAAAGUUUCAGGAAGGAUCGUCUGGAAACUAGAGAGUGAAGUGUGGAGUCAAGAGAAAGUUCUCCACUCAGUCCAGCAGAUAGUUUUCGAGCACUUCCUAUGCGCUGGCCUGCUGUUCGAGCAACCGCGUGAACAAGACAGACACAUCCCUGCCCACACGCAGCCAACAGUCUAAAUGGGGAAACAGACAGGAAUCAAGCAAUCACCUGAAUCAAUGGAUAAUUACGAAUAACGAUAGUCACGAAGGAGAGCCCACGGCUGGCGGUGGCUUGGACUAGCGUGGGGGCAGUGGAGUUGAAGAGAACUGGAAGGGUUCAGGAGCCACUUGGAGGUUGUCUCCGAGGCUUGAGGCCAGACUGCGGAUGGAGAGAAUUUGUACGUGACCUUUGUGACUUAGCCACGUCUCACUUUAGCCAGAUGUCACCGUGCCCGUGGCCAGGUCUCUGUCUCAUUCAUUUUGGAAUCAUCCCCAGCCUGGAGCAGCUGACCAGGGACGGCUGAAUAAAAUAUUUUCUGACUUGAAAUAAAAUGUUUGAAAUGGAAAGUCAAGACUUUUUAGCCAAAAGGCGUUUGUGAUCAAGGAGACAAUUGGACAAAUACAUUUUCUUGGUGCCAGUUUUGCACAGCGGGGUAAGGAGG
rnacentral:lncRNA from 1 species